rnacentral:misc_RNA from 1 species
AAACCUCAACCCCUAUAAUGAAAAGGCAUCAUCAAACAAUACUUCAACUAUAGUUAUAAAUAUCAAUCCUAAAGGAUUACAACAAAAAUUUUCUUCAUUUUGUUUCUAAGAUGAAUCACUGGUAUCAGAUGUUGAAGCCAUGAGAAUGGAAAAUUGUCCUGUUUUGACAUGAAAUUGGAAAACCUCCCAAAUUUCAGAUAAAGUAUUAUUACAAAUCAAUGGAUUCACUAACCUUCAACUUAAUAAGCUGAAGCAGAG